CACAACUCCCACACGCAUCUGCCCGACCCCCCUUGCAUCGGCGCUGCCCCCAAUCCCCUCGCCUCCAUGCUGCACUCCUCUCUCUCUCUCCUCCAGAUCUGGCUGAGUUUGCCGCAGCCACUAUGUGCACGAUGGGCCACGCCCGCCGCCAUAUUCGCUAUGGCUCCGCCACGCGCCAUGGAUUUCUCCGGCAGCGGCGGCGGCACGACGUUGUACCUCGUGUACCUCCCGCCCGCGGGCCGCUGCGCCGUCGUGAAGCGGCUGCACAUGCCACCGUCACCGUCCCCGUCCUCCGCCACCAUAACCAAGUCCUUCUGCAACGAGGUGCUCAUCCUCUGCGCGCUCCGCCACCCGCACCUCGUCCGCCUCCACGGUUUCUGCGCCGACCUACGCGCGCUGCUCCUCAUCGAUGACUUCGUACCCAACGGCACCCUCUCGCACCACCUCCACCGCCGGGGCACGGCGGCGCCGCCGCCUCUGCCAUGGCGGCCCAGAUCGCGUCGGCGCUCGAGUACCUCCACUUCGCCGUGAAGCCGCACAUCGUGGAGGCCGAUAUGCGGGCCCGGCUCGGCGACUUCGGCUUGUCGCGGCUCCCGGCAACGCCCGACGCCUGCUCGACGGCGACCGGGCGGGAAGUGGCGUGGUGGUGCUGGAGCUGGUGACGGGGUUGCGGCCCGUGGACGUGGACGUGGGCAGGGAGUGGCGGGACGUGACGCUGGCGGACUGGUUGGUGUCCAAGAUCAAGACCGACAAGCUGAGGAAGGUGGUCGACCCGCACAUGCUCGACGAGCACCCCGACGUGAUGCCCAGCAUGGAGGCGGUGGCGGAGCUGGCGUUUUGGUGCGUGGCGCCGGACAAGGACGACCGGACUGACGCCUGGGAGGCGCUGGCCGAGCUGAGGAGAAUCCAGGGGUGCUCCCUGAGCUAUCAAACCACAAGGAUUCCUCUUUGACUUAACUUUGGAUCGCACAGAUCAGAAAUUCAGAAUUGAGCUAGCACUGCACAAUCUCUGGGGUUGUUGAUGUCUGCGGUUCAAAUCCUGAUCUCUUGUCUGACAGAUCUAGCGCAUUGGAUGUGGAGUCAGAGAGGAUAGUUCAGGAGGCACUGAAUAGGGUCAUGGUGGACAGAACGACACUUGUGGUUGUUCAUCGUCUAACUACUGUCAGGAAUACUUAUUGCAUAUCAGUUGUUCAAUAAGGAAAGAUAGUUUAACAAGGUCCCCACGAUGAAUUGGUAGUAAACCCAGAUGGUGCAUACUCUCAACUAAUUAGACUUCAAGAAAGCAAUGAAGAAGAGCAGAAAGUAGACCAUCGAAGAUUGGAUCCAAGGUCUAAAAGUACAAGCUUAUCAUUCAAGCGAUCGAUUAGCAGAGGUUCUGCAGGGAAUAGUAGUAGGCAUUCUUUCAGCCACUCCUUCGGGCUUCCUGGCACGGUUGAAUUGCCUGAAGGAAAUGAUACACAUGGGGAGAAUCAUACAGAGCAGGAUGGUGAGGUUCCAAAGAGAGCUCCUAUGGGACGGCUGGCACUUCUUAAUAAACCAGAGUUACUUAUUAUUCUGUUAGGAGCCCUAGCUUCAGCAGUUCGCGGAGUGCUUUUCCCAAUGUUCGGUGUGAUGAUUUCCAGUGCCAUUAAAACUUUCUAUGAGCCACCAGAUAAACUCAGAAAGGAUUCUAGCUUUUGGGGUUUCAUAUUUAGGGGUUAGUUGCAUUGCAUGUGAUUGAUGGAUUUAGUUUGGGAGAUUUUGGUUGUGCCUCGGAUGAAAUGCAUUGCAAAUCUCGGCUAGGUGUAGGACAGAAUCAGAGUUUUGACAUCCCUUAAACUUUGUAGAAUGAACUAAAUUUUUGAUUUCUUUUGAACUGAAGCACCAAGGCACCAGUUAGUACUCUAAACUAAUUUUAGGAUGCUGAUGAUUUGCCGUCGUUUCUUUGUUAAGUUGAUGCCAUCUAAUGUGUUUAUAAUCGAUUCAAGAUUUGCAGCUAGAUUGAGUGGAUGAACUUGCUUUGGAGGUGCGAUUAUCAGCUUGUGUACUCUUUGCUGUUAACACAAACUUGAUGUUUAUUAAUACUUUGAGUUGAUAAUUUAGUGACUGGGCUGCACAUAUUUUUAUUUGGAGAUGUUCAGGAUUUAGUUUGUGUCUCUUAUUUAGGAGAGCAUAAAAGUACUUCUCAUUUGGUGGAUUCAUUUUUAGUUACUUAUUACAUUUGGGAGAGUGCAUUAGCACGAUGUGCUUAAGGUGAUAAUUUUAGUACACUAGAGAGUCGCACAUUUGCAGAAUAGUUGCAUUGCAUGUGAUUAAUAUAUUUAGCGGAAAAUUUUGGUGGUGGCCUAGAUGAAAUGAGAUUUUGCAAGUACGGAUGCCUAGGAGAUAAAACUAGAUAAAUGAAAUUACUGUAAGAUAUUUUUUAUAUCAUCAUCGUGUGUGUUUGGUCAAAGAUAACAUACCGCCCCCAAUGUUUUUAGUAGUCCCUCCGUCCGGAAAUACUUGCCACAAGAAUGGAUGUAUCUAGAUUUAUUUUAGUUCUAGAUACAUCUUUUUUUAUCCAUUUAUGCGACAAGUAAUUCCGGAUGCAGGGAGUAGAAAAUUGUUGCCUCACAUGCUUAAAUGGUCUGUCACAGCAAUUAUAUUCUUCUCCCUCAUAUGCAUAUAAUACACUUCAGGAGUAAUCCAUCGUGGUCAUUAAUAACUGAAAUUUAAACGACAACUACUUUACAUGAAAAUUCUUUCAUUGGUUGUGAUGAUUAUUGAUAAACAAAUUUGUGAAGUGAAUAGAGCUCAUUUACCAAAGUUAUGUGAAAUGCUAACAAUACUUCAGCUAAUAAUUAUCCGCAACUACAGACUUAACUCCUUUUCUUGUUAUCUUUUCAUCUAUUCAUUUUGUGAAAAUGCAGUGUGCUGCAACCUGCAGGCAUGCUAGACGUGGUAGUAAUGAGAUACAAUGACACUUGAAAACAUAUGUUGCAUGAUAUGUCGGUUCUGUUUUUCGGUUAUGUUAUUUCGAGCUGUAACUUGGAAAAGGAAACCAUUAUAUAAUACGUAGUAUUUGUUUAUUGUUCAACCGCCUUUGCUAAUUCCAUCUGAAUUUUUCAUGUCCACCCUUGAAUAGUUUGGUGUUCCAUAACAUUGCCACUGUUAUCAUCCUUGGAAAACUAACAACUUUUGAUAUCUUUCUUAGAGUGGUUGCUCUCCGUAAUCUUUUGGAGAAGAAGCUCUACUACCAUGUAGUUCCAUACCAUGAAUCGUUCUGAACCUAAGAUUAUCUUUCUUCGCUCUGAUGCAAACUGCGGCCAUGACUACCACUCCACAGGUAUAUGUUCGGCUUGUCAACCACGUUCCUUGGCCUCCUGCUGCUCCUUGACAGAUCCACCAUGUUGAGUCCAUGAUGGCGUCCGCAUCGGCCACAACAAUGACCACGGCUGCCUCUGCCGUCCCAUGGCCAAACACAUGUAAAUGCAGAACCUCAGACGAUUGGUUACCACUCUGUUUUGUGCGUGUAUUGCAUUCUAUGAUGAUCUGUUUCUUUUUGUCUUGGCUGAGUACAACGCAGUAUUGGCGAUGUAAGUUUUGGAUUUCAAGCUCUGAGCUUGAUGUAGUGUGUUAUUGAGACUGCUAGGCUUUGCAUAUCUUGUAAUCUGGAGCUAACUGACGUGCGGUUAGUUGUGGAAUCUCUCAUGUUUCCUGUGUUGUCUCCGUCUCCUAGGCAAGUAAAUGUCGUGUACUCAUGUCAACAAAAAAAUGCAGUGUACUUCACUUUCACAUUA